GUUGAGAUUUAUCCUGGCUCAGGAUAACGCUGGCGGCGUGUCUUAACACAUGCAAGUCGAACGAUGAUCUUCAGCUUGAUGGGGGGAUUAGUGGCGAACGGGUGAGUAACACGUGAGUAACCUGCCCUUGACUCUGGGAUAAGCCUGGGAAACUGGGUCUAAUACUGGAUACGACCUUCCAUCGCAUGGUGGUUGGUGGAAAGCUUUUGUGGUUUUGGAUGGACUCGCGGCCUAUCAGCUUGUUGGUGGGGUAAUGGCCUACCAAGGCGACGACGGGUAGCCGGCCUGAGAGGGUGGACGGCCACACUGGGACUGAGACACGGCCCAGACUCCUACGGGAGGCAGCAGUGGGGAAUAUUGCACAAUGGGCGCAAGCCUGAUGCAGCGACGCCGCGUGAGGGAUGAAGGCCUUCGGGUUGUAAACCUCUUUCAGUAGGGAAGAAGCGAAAGUGACGGUACCUGCAGAAGAAGCGCCGGCUAACUACGUGCCAGCAGCCCGCG
rnacentral:rRNA from 1 species